AACCUUAGAUGUUACAAGUGUCGCGCAAUUUUAAUAUUGAAAGUUCGACGAGCUCAGCAGUGGCGGCCUUAGAGGGUGGCGAACAGGGCAAGCGCCCAGGGUCUCGCUCUUGCAGGGGCCUCGCGAUACAACUCAAGCGAAUUAA